UGCGCAGGCGGGCUCGUUAGUCAGGAGUGAAAUCUCGGCGCUUAACGCCGAAACGUCUUUUGAUACUGCGGGCCUUGGAUAAGCGAGAGGUUCGUGGAAUUCCGAGUGUAGCAGUGAAAUGUGUAGAUAUUCGGAAGAACACCAGUGGCGAAGGCAGCGAACUGGCGCUUUAUCGACGCUCAUGCACGAAAGCAUGGGGAUCAAACA
rnacentral:rRNA from 1 species